UACGUAGGGUGCGAGCGUUGCCCGGAUUUAUUGGGCGUAAAGGGCGCGUAGGCGGUCACGCACGUCCGUUGUGAAAUCGCUCGGCUCAACUGGGCGGGGUCAGCGGAUACGGUGUGACUGGAGCAAGCUAGGGGGCAAUGGAAUUCCCGGUGUAGUGGUGGAAUGCGUAGAUAUCGGGAGGAACACCAGUGGCGAAGGCGGUUGCCUGGAGCUUUGCUGACGCUGAUGCGCGAAAGCGUGGGGAGCGAGUCCGG
rnacentral:rRNA from 1 species